AUACUUACUUGGCAGAAAAAAUAUCAUCAAGAAGGUGGUUUUCCCAGGAUAAGCCUUCUCCGUCCCACUCUGGACUUGCUGGCCCCUGCAAUUUCCCCAGUGUGGAAAACUCCACUGUGGAACAUGUCCUGGUGUGAGACUGCACUCACACUCUCCCA
rnacentral:snRNA from 1 species